ACUACAACACGGUCCGUAGAGAAGAAAGAUGAACAUGAUAGCAAAGGAGUUAGGAGUGAUUCUUUCCUUCAUGGUGGUAGCCACUCUCGCUAAAAACAUUAGCCCCUCUGGCUAUCCUUCCCUCCACCACCGUCCUCCUUUCCCAGGCACCGGUCCCUCCCCUGGUGUUCCCGGGUCAAGUGGAACCUACAUUCAGUACCUGUAUUACCUGUAUCGCACCCAGGGACCUAACUCGUCCAGCUUUCUGCAAUACUACCAGUACCUCAUCAGAACAGGUAUACUGCCAAGAGGACGAUUCCCAUUUGGUGGUGCUGGUGGAAGUCUCGGAUCACCCUUUGGCGGUUUACCCGGUUUUAGCAGUGGAUCACCUUUGAGCGGCGGAUCACCUUUGGGAGGCUUACCUGGUUUAAGCGGAGGUUCGCCACUGGGUGGUCUGCAAGGAUUGAGCGGAGGAUCACCUUUUGGAGGUUUACCUGGUUUAGGAGGAGGUUCACCACUUGGCGGUCUACCAGGAUUAAGCGGCGGAUCACCUUUGGGUGGUUUACCUGGUUUAGGCGGAGGUUCACCACUUGGCGCUCUACCUGGAUUAAGCGGCGGAUCACCUCUUAGCGGUUUACCAGGAUUCAGCAAUGGAUCUCCCACAGGCGGUCUACCAGGUUUAAGUGGUGGUUCCCCUUUGGGUGGUUUAUCUGGUUUGAACAGUGCUUCUCCACUUGGCGGUCUUCCUGGGUUGAGCAGUGGUUCCCCUUUUGGUGGAUUAUCAGGUUUAGGCAGUGGUUCUCCACUUAGCGGUCUUCCUGGAUUGAGCGGAGGAUCACCUUUGGGAGGUUUACCCGGUUUAAGCAGUGGUUCACCCACUGGUGGUUUUCCUGGAUUGGGUGGUGGUUCCCCUCUGGGUGGUUUACCUGGAUUGAGCAGUGGCUCCCCUUUUGGCGGUUUACCUGGUUUGAGCGGUGGAUCCCCUCUGGGCGGUUUACCCGGUUUGAGUAGUGGUUCACCUCUUGGUGGUUUUCCUGGAUCAAACAGUGGCUCACCUUUAGGUGGUUUACCUGGCUUGAGCAGUGGCUCCCCUCUGGGCGGUUUACCUGGUUUGAGCGGUGGAUCCCCUCUGGGCGGUUUACCUGGUUUGAGCGGCGGUUCAUCUCUGGGUGGUUUACCUGGAAUUAGCAGUGGAUCACCAUUUGGAGGAAGCAGUUUACCAGGGUUAUCUGGUGCCUCACCUUUCAGUAGUUUACCUGGCUUAAACGCUGGAUCAUCUUUCCCUGGAGGAAGCACUUUCCCCGGGGCAAGCAGUGGUUCACCCUUUGGCAGCAGGUCACCUUUUGGGAGUAAUCAAAUGAUAAGUCUUAGUGGAUCUUCAUCUUUCAGCAGUUUGUCUCCCAGCUUUGGGGAUUUCGAUAGCGAUUCUUACUACACUCCAGACCUAGAUAGCGGAUAUGGAAGUUCUCUGCCUGGGUAUGACUCUGGGUAUGACUCCUCUCCAUCGUACAAAAAAAGCGGACAAUAUUGAGAUCAUAUAAGGAAGUAUGUUAUGUUAAUGGAAAGGAUAAAAAAAAAUU
rnacentral:misc_RNA from 1 species